AGAGUUUGAUCCUGGCUCAGAACGAACGCUGGCGGCGUGGCUAAGACAUGCAAGUCGAACGGACUAUGCUUUUAGUAUAGUUAGUGGCGAAAGGGUGAGGAAUAGGUAGGUAACGUACCGUUUUCAGGAUAGCGUCUGGAUGCUUGCAUCCUUCCGAAAGGGGCAUUAAUACUGAAUAAAGUCACCACUCUCAAGAGUGAUGACCAAAGAUUUAUCGACGAACGAGCGGCCUAUCUCCUAUCAGCUUGUUGGUGAGGUAAUGGCUCACCAAGGCUUCGACGGGUAGCGGGACUGAGAGGUUGGCCCGCCACAUCGGGACUGAGACACUGCCCGGACCUCCACGGAGGGCUGCAGUAACGAAUAUUGUGCAAUGAGCGAAAGCUUGACACAGCGACGCCGCGUGUAGGAUGAAGCUCCUCGGAGUAUAAACUACUGUCAGGGGAAAGAAAGUGCGCUUCGGCGUAUUGAUCUACCCCAGAGGAAGUCACGGCUAACUACGUGCCAGCAGCCGCGGUAAUACGUAGGUGGCGAGCGUUGUUCGGAAUUACUGGGCUUAAAGCGUGUGUAGGCGGAAUAGAAAGUGUCUUGUGAAAUCCCUCGGCUUAACCGAGGACUUGCUCGGCAAACUACUAUUCUUGAGGCAAGCAGGGGUGUGUGGAACUCUUGGUGGAGCGGUGGAAUGCGUAGAUAUCAAGAGGAACGCCAAUGGUGAAGACAGCACACUGGGCUUGUUCUGACGCUGAGACACGAAAGCGUGGGGAGCGAACGGGAUUAGAUACCCCGGUAGUCCACGCCGUAAACGAUGUCUACUAGGUGUUGGGGACUCUGACGUUCUCAAGACCGGAGCAAAAGUGUUAAGUAGACCGCCUGGGGAGUACGGUCGCAAGGCUAAAACUCAAAGGAAUUGACGGGGGCUCACACAAGCGGUGGAGCAUGUGGAUUAAUUCGAAGCAACGCGCAGAACCUUACCUGGGUUUGACAUGUAUGGAUGCCUAUCUGGAAACAGAGUCGGUUGCCCUUCGGGGUGAAACUUACACAGGUGCUGCAUGGCUGUCGUCAGCUCGUGUCGUGAGAUGUCGGGUUAAGUCCUUUAACGAGCGAAACCCCUACCGUUAGUUGCCAGCGCGUCAUGGCGGGGACUCUAACGGGACUGCCGGUGUUAAACCGGAGGAAGGUGGGGAUGACGUCAAGUCCUCAUGGCCUUUAUGCCCAGGGCCUCACACGUGCUACAAUGGUAACUACAGAGCGACGCGAUACCGCGAGGUGGAGCAAAUCGCACAAAAGUUAUCUCAGUCCGGAUUGUAGGCUGUCAACUCGCCUGCAUGAAGUUGGAAUCGCUAGUAAUCGCGUAUCAGCCAUGACGCGGUGAAUGUGUUCCUGAGCCUUGUACACACCGCCCGUCAAGUGAUGGGAGCCGGGAGUACCCGAAGUUGGAUUGCCAACCUUUUAGGAGGCGUCUACCUACGGUAAGUUCGGUGACUGGCACUAAGUCGUAACAAGGUA
rnacentral:rRNA from 1 species